AUUGAACGCUGGCGGCAUGCUUUACACAUGCAAGUCGAACGCCCCGCAAGGGGAGUGGCAGACGGGUGAGUAACACGUGGGGAUCUGCCCAAUGGUACGGAAUAAUUCCGGGAAACUGGGACUAAUACCGUAUGUGCCCGCAAGGGGAAAGAUUUAUCGCCAUUGGAUGAACCCGCGUCGGAUUAGCUAGUUGGUGAGGUAAAGGCUCACCAAGGCGACGAUCCGUAGCUGGCCUGAGAGGAUGAUCAGCCACACUGGGACUGAGACACGGCCCAGACUCCUACGGGAGGCAGCAGUGGGGAAUAUUGGACAAUGGGCGCAAGCCUGAUCCAGCCAUGCCGCGUGAGUGAUGAAGGCCUUAGGGUUGUAAAGCUCUUUCGCCGACGAAGAUAAUGACGGUAGUCGGAGAAGAAGCCCCGGCUAACUUCGUGCCAGCCGCCGCCGUAAAAC
rnacentral:rRNA from 1 species